UGACACAAAGGCUCAACAAUGCUGAAAAUAAAGUCACAGGACUGGAAAAAAGAAGGAGCGACUUCCAAUUUGGAGGUGAACUUGCAAGAGAUUUGAAGCAAUAGAUCUAUUUUUCCCUGAGUCGAACUUAAUGGAAAUGAAGCCAAAGCAAGAAAUGUAAAGCAUUUUGCAAAUCCACUUCCUUCAGCAACAGAAGUCUAAAGGAUAGAGACUAAUGACAGAGCUUUGUCCCAGUUUGACAAAUACUUUUACUGACUGCAACAGCAAAAAAGAAAGAGAAAUCCAUCCUGUGCAUACUCCCACCCAUGGACUCCAGAUACUGUUGCAAGAGCUCAGCAAUUCAGCAAGUUACACAGAGCUGUCAGAAGAUGUAGCAUGUAUCAUCAGAAAGUUUGGUUUGAGUAAUUACCUAGCAUCAAGUUUUGUGGUGGAGGAAAGGAUGCACUCCAACGCCUAGAUACAAUGAAACAGACACCAAAGAAGCAGAAAUUGUAAGCAGUUCAUCACCAGAUCAAGCCCAUCAGCUUGCCAAAGACAGGCUGCACCUCAAGAAAAGGUCAAAGGGGUGACAAGUCUCCGUGAUUGUUAUGCUACUGGAGAUGGUUUUGGAAUUAACAUAGGAGGCAGAAGAAACAGCAAUGGCUUUGGGUUUGUGGUGUGGCCAAUGCACAAGACAUGCUGAGGAAGCAAGAACCAGCCUGAGGCUACAGCGUUUCCCUGUACUUGCACUUCCUGACCAUUGAAAGCUGCUGCAAUACCAACAACAGUGUCAUACUGUCUGGCAAGAGAAAAUAUUUUUUCUUCUAUAUUAAUAUUUUGUAUUAUAAGUAAAUAUGUGCAAAAAUAUAGAAUGAUAAGCUUAAGGUUAGAAUAAAAAAUGCUUUACAGAUAAUAGUCUAAGGACUGCUGGGCUGACAUUUUAAAUUAUGUUUUAAAUAGUCCUGCUCUCUCCAUGUAAUUUCAUCUUAUGGAACUUUGAAUUUAAUAAUUACUUCUCAUUUCGCUCAUAACUGUUUUAUAGCUAUUUAAUCUUUUGGUAACCCCAUUCUUAGCUUAGCUCUUUUAGAGCUGUUUUUCCUAUUUGCUGAUUAUUUUAAUUAGGCAGAAGUCCAAUCUUCUCUCCACCUUUAGUCUGACAAAAUAAAGAAGCCAAU